rnacentral:rRNA from 1 species
GUAGGGAAUAUUGGGCAAUGGAUGCAAGUCUGACCCAGCCAUCCCGCGUGCCGGAAGAAGGCCCUCAGGGUUGUAAACGGCUUUUGACGGUGAAGAAUCGACAGGAUGCGUCCUGUUUUGACGGUAGUCGUUGAAUAAGCACCGGCUAACUCCGUGCCAGCAGCCGCGGUAAUACGGAGGGUGCGAGCGUUGUCCGGAUUUAUUGGGUUUAAAGGGUGCGUAGGCUGGAAGGUCAGUCAGCGGUGAAAAGCUGUCGCUUAACGAUAGUCUUGCCGCAGAUACUUCCUUUCUUGGAUGAGGAGGAGGCCACUGGAACGGAUGGUGUAGCGGUGAAAUGCAUAGAUAUCAUCCAGAACACCGAUUGCGAAGGCAGGUGGCUGUACCUUAAUCGACGCUGAUGCACGAAAGCAUGGGGAGCAAACAGGAUUAGAAACCCGAGUAGUCC